UUUAUUCAUAGUUUAUAGGAAAUAAGGUUUCAGUCUUGACUGCUUACUGAUGAUCAAGCAUCCCCAUCUGGAAGUCACCAGAAGGUGUUGCUUUAGGAGAAAGGUCGGAAUCGAAGUAGAGAUGACCUAUCAGUCUGGUACUUGCUUCACUGUGGUGGUUACAUUCCAGCCAUAUUUAUCUCUGUUGGGCAGGGGGAGCCCCGAAGUGGUCCCCUUUCCUCUUUCCCCUCGAAUGCAAGGAGUUUGCUCGUUAGCAAGAGUGAUCAUGCCCGACCAUUGCUACUUCACUGAGUCCUCCGUUAGCAAUUGUGAGAAAUAGGUCAUUAAGACCAAGGAGGGUAGACAUAACUCAAUCUUUUAAAGUACACAUUCUUUAAUUUAUUGGCUUAAAUAUAAAAUCGACUUUUGGAGCAUUCCAAGGAGCUUAAAGCCGAAAGCUGGUCGUUCCUUUACGACACGCUCCUCACGCUACCAUGCCUUCAAGCAUUGCCCCCCUUUCAGGGAGUUGCUUGACACACUCCUAUUGGUUCUUCACAACCAAACUCAACUGGCCCCCCUUCUCUGAAGGCUCUCCUAAACUCUCAGGCAGAGGUCUCGCAGAACAAGAGAGAACUUCUGCUUCUCUGUUGCCCUUGCAGCAAUCUGCUUGCACAUGAGCUUCCAUAUAUGAUUGCACAUCUAUUCCUGUUGUCUAGCACAAUGACUGGUGUUUACUGGCAAUCUAUAAAUACUUGUUUACAAAUGAUCUGUUUUAGAACAGUUUGACUGGAGAUGUAUCCUGCCAUCCAAGGAUCAGAAUAUAUCAAGGCAUUCUGCUGGUUUAGAUUGUUACAGGAACGGAAAGGGACUGAACAGGAUGGGGCUGACGCGCUGCCUGUGAGCAGCCCCGGGGCAGGUGGCCCUGCGGGCGUCGGGGAAGCGGGGCUCCUCCGCUCCAGAGCCGGGGGGAGGAGACAGAGCCUGCGGGGGGAGGACAGGACAGGUGCGUUCCCGCCUACUGGGGCUGGUGGCCUUGGGGUCCCGACUCCCCCACCCCCGGAGGACUCACGGAUUCCCAGACUCCCUCUGCUCCCCCACGGGGCCAAAAGACCCCAAAAGUCUCACUCCUUAAAAUCCUCUGAAUCAUGUCUGCAAGGCCGCUCUGCUGCGCGUCUCCCCACGAGGUCACGUCACACACCUGUCAGGGCUCUCUGCCCCGCGCGCCGGCCUCCCCACCCCCCCGCCCCCGGUGUCCCUCCCCAGCUGCACGGUCGGUCCUCCGCCGGCCUCUUUACGCUGCACGGGCCUCAGUGCCUGGCCCCCCGGCCCGUGCACCCUCCUCCGGGAGCACUCCCUCCGCACCUCCCAGCCCCGCAGCCUGCCAGGCCCCAGCUCCUGGCCCCCCGGCCCGUGCACCCUCCUCCGGGAGCACUCCCUCCGCACCUCCCAGCCCCGCAGCAUGCACAGGCCCGA
rnacentral:lncRNA from 12 species